CGAGAGCCUCGAGCGUUAUCCGGAGUUAUUGGGCGUAAAGGGUGCGUAGGUUGUUCUGUUAGUCUUUUAUUAAAGCCCCGAGCUUAACUUGGGAUAUGUAAAAGAAACGGCAGAACUAGAAAGUGCGAGGGGUGUACGGAACUCAUGGUGUAGGGGUGAAAUCCGUUGAUAUCAUGGGGAACACCAAAAGCGAAAGCAGUACACUGGCGCAUAUUUGACACUGAAGCACGAAAGCGUGGGUAGCGAAUGGGAUUAGAUACCCCAGUAGUCCACGCCCUAAACGAUGAUUUCUCGCUAUUCGGAGUAUCGACCCUCUGAGUGGCUAAGCUAACGCGUUAAGAAAUCCGCCUGGGAAGUACGGCCGCAAGGCUA
rnacentral:rRNA from 1 species